rnacentral:lncRNA from 1 species
AAGGCAUCAAAAGUACCAAGUUUCCAUUAAUCAAAAUGACAUAUACAUGCCAAACUCAUCAACUAUUAUAAACCACAAGUCCACCUAUACAUGUCAUUAUAACCUUAACCAAGAUAUCAAAAUCUACCGAUAUAAUCACUAGAUAGUGUGAUAGAUCUCCAACAAGCUUCCAACCUGAUCGAGCUUCCGAUAAUCCGUAAAGUAAGGGAAAAACAACUACGCAAGAAAUGAAUGCUUAGUAAGCUCAUAUAAACUUUAAACAUAACAUUUCAUUUCAAUAAUGAACUUUAUGGAUUAAAUAUAAACCUAUACCAAUGCCUCAAGAUUUGUCAACUACAAAUCAUCAACUCAUAAAUGAGUAAGUAUAUCAACAUCAUAUAUAUUUUUCAUUCCUAAAUUAAUAGGAUUUUGUAAACAUUAUACACCAUUAUUAACCUUUUCAUAGAACUAUGAAUUACUUCAUUUACUUACUUUCCAUUCCAUUUACUAAGCAUAAACUUAAAUAACAACAUCAACUCACUGAUUAGUAUAUUUAUUCACAUCAUAGGUAAGUUCAUCCAUAACAUACGUAAUUUCUCAUAUAUAUAAGUACAUCAUUCAAUUCAACAAUCCAUUUUUCAUCAUAUCACAUUUCAAUAAUGAACUUACCAUUUCAUUGCAUUUUCUUACACAUUUCCUUUAUAUAAUACCAGAAAAAAGCAUAAACAGCAAUCAUAAUUUCAAGCUUGAUAUAAGCCUAAUCACCAUCAGCAAUACACAAGUUAGUUCAUUUAUAUAUACAACUCAUUUGGAGUCAAUCACAUGAUAAACCAUUUUUUUAAGAAAAUACACCUUUUGAAUCAUACCAGCUUUUCAUGAACAUAAGCAUAUUCUCAUUUUUGUCAUUUAUCAUUUCACUGUAUAUCAUUAAUAUUAAACAUGAUAUAAUGUAACCAUAAGCUUAGCAUAAACCUAAGCAUCAUCCACAGUCUCAACUGUUGAAUUCAUUUAUGUUCAGAUCAAUAUUUAAUAAAUAACAAAUCUUUCAAAUUCAUUAAACAGAUUACCUUACUGAGAUUUUCCAUUCGAAGAACGACUUACAUAUAAGAGUACAUCGUCAAUAGAAGCUCAUAAGAGCUGUUCCUCUCGAACACGCCAACAGAAGCUCAUAAGAGCUGAACAGAAGCACAAAAGAGCUAAACAAAAGCUCUAAAGAGCUGGUCCACCCGAAUCAUGCUAAAUAGAAAGCAUAACACGAGAGUUCGCAACAAAUGCUGAACUUCAAUUUACUUGGUUAAUAUAUCGAUAUCUCCCUCCAAUACCGUCUCUAUUCCAAAUCUCCAUAAUAUACCAAAGCACGAAUGUACUCUAAUCCCGCAUUCAACACAAACCGAGUAUCAAAAUCAAUAAUAUAUCUCAAUUUACUAUUCAUUAUCCAUAAUUAAAAAUAAAUAUAUAAGUUUUUCAAUGAUAAUCUACUUUAUAAUUCAUAUUGAUAUUAAAUUCUAAACCGUACAAACUUACAUGGCUAAAUUGCAGAAAUGUCAAAGUACAAGGUCAUUUUGGUAAUUUUUCAUUCUCCUCGAUUUUCCACCCGAUCUUGAUCUAAAUUAACAAUUUCAUUCAAUAUAUUAACUUAGAUAGUAAAAUAAUGUGUUUUAUGCAAUUUAGUCAUUUUGAAACUUUUACAAAGUUGCCCCAAAAAUUUUACUUUUAUUCAAUUUAGUCCAUGAGCCCAAAACAUGCAAUUUAACCAUUUUUAAUGCCAAUUUAUAACAAACGAAUAUUCAUGGCAUCCAUAUCAGCCCAUAUUUGCACCAAUUUCACAUCAAAUCCUUAAAAUUUUAUUAUUUUAAAAAAUUAGUCCCUAAUAGAUAAAUACAUAAAAAUCACUUAACAAAAUACUUUAAUUAUCAAUCAACAUUCCAAAUUCAUCAUCUAGCAUCAAAAAUCACGAGAUUCAUCAAUGGAAAUAUUCAAAAUCUUUAAUAGUUUCAAAAUCGAAGGUACAGGCUAGCUGGACCUAGUGCAACGAUCUAAAAAUAUAAAAAUUAUUAGAAAUGGAUGAGAAAUGGCUUACCAUGCAUCAUCCAAAGAAGAACCAAAGCUUGAAGCUUUUCCUAUGGUGGUUUGGUAAAGAAUAAAACAAAUUGGGGAAGAAAACUAUCAUGUUUCUUUAUUUUAUUAACCUUUUAUUUAUUUUAUUAUUAAAAUAACAUAUGAAACUUUAUAAUUAAAAGAAAUUAAAGCAUCCAACCGUACCGUUAUCUUUAGGAUAGCUAAUUUACACAACAAGGCCACCUAAUUAUAAUUCUUUAUGAAAGGUCUACUAAUUUAGCACGUCUCUGUCUGCUUUCUCUGGCAGUUUUAGGGUUUUCUUAUUUUUUGGCCAUGCUACAACGGCAAUUUAUCUAUUCAGAUCUCUUUCUUGCUUUAGCAAUUUACGUUACGAGUUAGUAUGGAGAUAGAUUUCACAAGGUUAACAUUGGACAAGGAGGAAGAUGAAGUUCUUCAAGUACAAGUUGGAGCAGAUACAGAUAGAGAAGUGGAAGGUUUUCAAUUGGUGGGGUGUUUUUUAACGGCAAGUAUUGUUCACUUUCCAUCAAUGAGGAGUACAAUGGCAAAUUUGUGGCAUCCCAUACAGGGGUUCAAAUUAGAGAUAUGGGGGAAAAGGUAUUUAUUUCAAUUUUUUCAUAUAAUGGAUCUUGAAAGGGUUAUAAAGGGUUCACCAUGGACUUUUAAUAAUCACUCACUGAUUCUUCAUAAGUUGCAAAGGGGGGAGGAUCCUUUGAAAAUCCCAUUAAUUUACUCUAUUUUAUGGGUUCAAUUACAUGACAUUCCAUUUGGUUUUGUCUCAGAAAAUCUGGUAAUCCAAAUGGGUAAUUUUAUAAGAAAUUUCAUGGAAUAUGACGACUCAAAUCUGGGGAAAAAAUAGAAAUUUCAUGAGAAUAGGAGUCAAAAUUGAUAUAAGGUGACCUUUGAAAAGGAAAAACAGAUAAUAUGUUAUGAAAAGUGCUCAUAUGUUUGAUUUAGAUAUGAAAGGUUAUCACUUUUUUGCUUUUACUAUUGUCGUUUGGGCCAUAGUGAUUCCUUUUGUGAAGCAAGGAUGGCACUAGGAGUGGAAAUUACAGAGAUGGGGUGGGACUUAUCACUUAGGGUACAGUCUCGUCAAGCCCAAACGAUGACCAGUGUGUGGUUGCGAGAAGAAGGCGAGGGGCAGUAGAGAGGAAACAAUGGGGGAAGGUAAAUUUUAGGGAAUAAUUUAAAGGGUCCAGCGAAAAAUAGGGGUAGUAGGGAUAAUCUAGAUCCAGUACUGGGAAAAAAUCUGGAAGGGAGGGUAUCUUAAACAUGGAAAGAAAAUGGAAAUUGGAGUAGGAAUCUAGAGCAUAACUUAAUGGAACACGAUCUUGAAGAUGGAGUGCUUAUUGGUGAGGAUGGCAAAAAGAGAAAUAGAAGGGACAUGGAAGAUGCAUUGGCCAAAGAAGAGACUAACACUUUGGCGGUAAGGAGUAGGAGGGUAGUGGAGGUUAGUCAUCAAUCAUCAGUGACUGCCAAGUGGCUAGCCAACCGGGCGCAAUGAAAAUUUUAAGCUGGAAUAUCCGUGGAUUGGGGAGUCCACGGACAAUUCGAAGACUUCUGCAUGUGUUGAAGUUAUAUAAUCCCCAAGAUGGAGACAAAAAUUAGUAGCAAUCAAUUAGAAUGAGUUCAAAGAAGUUAUGGGUUUUUAAAUGGUAUUGAUGUUGGCUCAAAUGGAUCUAGAGGUGGGCUAUGUCUGGCUUGGCGUGGUGGUAAAAAUACUUAGCUUCAAAGCUUUUCAAAACAACAUAUUGAUGUGAUCAUUGACAAAGUGGAGGAAGGACACAAAUGGAGGUUUAAUGGUUUUUAUGGGUCUCUAUAUUCACAAGAUAGAGCUGAAGCAUGGAAUCUCUUGCGACACUUAGGUACGAUUAGAGAGCUACCAUGGAUGGUUUGUGGAGACUUUAACGAAAUUCUGUAUGGUUUUGAGAAAAAUGGUGGUUUACCGCAAGAGGAAGGAUGAAUGAAAGAUUUUCGUAAGGUAUUGGAGGAAUGUAAUUUUUUUUAUAUGGGGUUUACUGGAAACUGGUUUACAGGGGAAAGAGGGAACUUACCUGAAACUAAUAUUCAAGAAUGGUUAGAUAGGGGUGUGGCGAAUGAGGAAUGGUUUCAUUUAUUUCUUGAAUUUCAGCUUCAACAUCUUCCACAUAUGCUUUCUGAUCAUUUCCUAUUACUGGUUAACACAAAGGAGUGCAGAGAGAGAAUACAUAAACGUUUCAAAUUUGAAGCAUGGUGGGUAUUGGAGGAUUCAUUCUUCAAUGAGGUCAAAAAUAUUUCGGAACAUUUUGAGGGAGAUUUUUUAAGUAAGCUGGAAAGUAUGAAAAGGGGGUUGGAGCGAUGGGCUAGUCAAAUUCAAUAUUCUAGAGAAGGAAGGAAAAAGAUGUUAUCCUCAAAAUUGGCCACAUUACUAGAAGUUGAGAGAGAUUAAGGAAAUUUAGCAGAUCUAAUUGAUACAAAAAUCCAACUUAAUUUUGAGAUCGAUAAGGUUGAGCGUUAUUAAGAACAAAGGGCUAGGGUUAACUGGUUGAAAUUUGGGGAUAAAAAUACAGCUUUUUUCCACAAACAAGCAACAUAGAAGCGACAGAAGAAUCUGAUUCGUAAAAUGCAACAUGAUGAUGAGAGGAAGACGGAUGAAAUAAAAGAAAUGGGAAUGAUAGCCAGACCAUACUUCUAAUAGCUAUUCUCUGCUGGAAGAAAAGGAAAUUAUGAGCAUGUUUUAUCAAGAGUUUCUCGGCGUAUUUCGGACGAAGACAAUUUAAUGUUAAAGGCAAGAUAUACAAAUAAGGAGAUGUAGCAGGCUUUGGCAGAAUUAGGGUCCACUAAGGCGACAAGAGAAGAUGGAUUUCCAGCAUUAUUUUAUCAGAAGUGUUGGGCAAUUAUAGGGGAAGAGGUUACUAUGUUUUGUCUCGAUCACCUGAAUGGAGGGAUGGAGAUAGGCCCAGUCAAUAAAACAAAUAUUGUUUUAAUUCCAAAAAUUUCAAGUCCAGUGGGUAUAAUGAGCUUUAGGCCUAUUAGUUUGUGUAAUGUUAUCUACAAAUUGAUGGCUAAAAUUAUGGCAAAUCGUAUUCGAAAAGUGUUAGACAAAUGCAUUAAUCUUGCACAAAGUACUUUUGUCUCUGGGAGAUUGAUCUCGGAUAACAUGUUGCUGGCCUAUGAAUUACUUCACACGUUGAAACAUAAGAAGUCAGGGAAAAAAGGAUUUAUGACGGUAUAUUUGGAUAUGAGCAAGGCAUAUAAUAGGGUUGAAUGGAACUUUGUUGAAGAAAUAAUGAAGAAACUGGGAUUUGAUUCAAAGUGGGUGGCCUUACUAAUAGAGUGUGUAACUAUAGUUUCUUAUUUGGUGGUUCUAAAUGGGCACAGUGGAGAACCAUUCUCUCCUUCUAAAGGAUUACGACAGGGUGACCCAUUGAGUCCAUUCUUAUUCUUAUUCUGUGGACAAGGCCUUUCUAGCCUUAAAAAGUUAGGAAUGCAGGAGAAAAAAGUGAGAGGUGUCAAGGCAAGCAGAAGUGGGCCACAGGUUUCAAAUUUACUUUUUGGGAAUGAGUGCAUGCUAUUUGAGGAAGCUACUGAGAAGAGCUCAAUUUCUUUGAAACAGAUCCUCCAUGAAUACGGAGUUUGUUCGGGAUAGAAAGUAAAUUAUUCAAAAUCUACAAUUUUUUCAGUAGUAAUACACAAGAAGGAGAAAGAAGAACAAUCACUCGAGUUCUCGAGAUGCAAAGUUCAGAUGAUUUGGAAAGGUACCUAGGGUUACCUAACCUAGUGGGUAGAAGGAAGAAGGCAGCAUUUCAGAUUUUGAAGGAUAGACUUAAACAAUGAAUUGAUAAUUGGAGUAUAAAAUAUCUCUCACAAUGGGGUAAGGAGGUUUUCAUCAAAGCUGUUUUACAGUUUAUACCAACCUACUCAAUGACGUGUUUUUUACUCCCUAAAUAUUUAUGCAAGGAAUUGGAAGGUAUUAUUGCAAAAUUUUGGUGGCGGAAAAAUAAGGGGAAAAAGGGGAUUCAUUGGUGUGCUUGGAAGGACAUUUGUUCGGUGAAAGAAUUGGGUGGUCUAGGCUUUAGAAGUUUGGAUAAAUUCAAUAUAGCAUUAUUAGCCAAACAGGGUUGGCGUCUUAUUAAUUAUCAGAAUUCUUUAUUAGCCCGGGUUUUAAAAGCUAAAUAUUUUCGAAAACGAAUUUCUUAAAUGCUCCUUUAAGUAACCUACCUUCACUUACCUAGAGGAGUAUUUGGUUAACAAAAAAACUUUUGGAAGAUGGAUUAUGCUGGAGGGUUAGUAAAGUAGACCAUAUUUCAGUAUGGACUGAUCGUUGGGUGUCAGGAAAGACUGAAGAUAGAUUAUAGAACAAUAACAGCAUUGAAAGUAUAAGAAUAGUGUCCGACUUAAUCAAUGAAGAAAGUAGAACAUGGAAAAGAGAUUUGAUUGUCCGUACCUUCAAUACAGAUAUUGCUAGGAAAAUAUUGCAGAUUCCGCUUUCAAAGUCAACCAAUGAAGACUUCCAAGUGUGGAGAAGGGAGGCAACUGGAGACUUUUCAGUAAGGAGUGCCUAUAAACUAUUACAGGAGGCUAAUAUAGAUCCUAGUUUUUAUUUACAGACCAAUACUAAAAGUUUCUACAGGAAAUUGUGGAAUUUACACAUGCCCUCAAAAAUCAAAAUUACAGUGUCGAAAAUAGCGUGAAAUUACAUCCCCACUUUCUCCAAUCUGAAGCUGAGAAAAGUGAUGACUGAGGAUCGAUGUAUGAGAUGUGGCCAAGGAGAAGAAGAUAGCAACCACGUCUUCCAACUGUGCCCUACUGUAAAGGAAAUAUGGAGUCACUUAAAUUUUUCUCGGGUUUUCAGCCAAGGGACAAAUGAGCAGUGCAGAAUGUUUUGUUGUGGGCUCUGGCUAAUCUAGACAAAUAGAAAUAAAUUAUUAUACGAAGGCAAACCAAGCACCAAUUGGGACAUAUCCAAACAAAUUAAAAGCUAAAUUUUAGAAUUGGACGGUAUUCAAGACAGGGAACUCAACUUGGAAGCCAACGCGAGGCAUAGACAAAGUAUACAAAGGGUGAAUACAGCUAUCUUUUUCGAUGCAGCUUUUGACUCACAAAACUCUAGAUCUACGUCAGGCCUAGUAGUUAAAAAUGAGGGGGGCAGAAUCGUUGUAGCUAAAUCAAUUCUUCGUGACAACGUUGCAUCUUCAUUCGCAGCGGAAGCAUAUGCAAGAUUUCAAGCAACAAAUUUAGGGAUUCAUUUGGGCUAUCAUACUUUGGACAUAAUAACUGAUUCAAAAAUAGUGAUAACAAAAUGCCAAAAUGCAAAUCGAGACAGAUCAGAAAUAGGAGCAAUUAUCAGUGACAUUCAAAGCCUAAAGGCACACUUUCAAGAAAUCAAAUUCUACUUCAUCCCAAGGUUAGAAAAUACAAAAGCCCAUCGAUUAGCAAAAGAAACACUCAAGAAUGGAGAGGAACAGUACCUGGAGGGAGCGAUUUCAAGUUCGUCUGAAGGAGAAUUGGAGUAAAAUCGCUUGGGUUUUUCAGAGUAAAAGAAAAGGGGAAACAACUUUGGAUUUUGGCAUAGUGUUGUGACGUUUGAAAUGAAAGAAAUGGUGCCGAUUGAAAAGCAAACAGAUAAGCAAAAGAUUUUAGGGGAUUUGCUUUUACUUUUCAGUGGUCUUGGGCAGAGGAAAUGUCAGAUUCAUUAAUGAAGGCCAGUUAAACCGUUCGACUAGAGUGAAGUUUGAAAAUUUAUUUCUUUUCUUUCUAUUAUUGUUUUUUGAUUUAUUUUAUGGGCUAAAUUGAAGAUGGCC